rfam:Haemonchus contortus, ISE/inbred ISE, WGS project CAVP01000000 data, contig: Hcontortus_903
GGUCCAAAUUUGAAGUAGGGUAGAUUAUUAGGAUCAGCCGACCAUACUAAUCUAUUCUACUUCAAGAUUGUGCCC